UGUUGUUUUUGGUGGGGGAGGGGUGGGAGAAAGUAGGUACUGAUUUCCCUAAUGUUUCCUUUGUGUGGCUGCUGUUGCCAUGUGGUGGUCUGUUGCUAUGAAGAUUUGUGGUGCCAGACAAUGGCUGCUAGGCUCUUUAUGACUGUGCUAUUGGUAGAACUAUUUCUUCCAGAUUCAAGCUGGUAUGCAAUUGGCUAAACAGUGGAGAAAGCUUGGUUGUUAUUGUGCCCCAUCUCUCCUCUAGAUCUUCAGAGAAUGAUCUUUGCAGGAAAUCUCUGUUACCUGAAGAUGAAAAGGAAUGUGAACCAACUGUGAUCCCAAUUCAGACCUUCGCCAACUGACAGUUCAGGUGAAGGCCCUCUGGGGUGACCAGAAAGCAAAGAAAAGAUGAGUAUAUUAUUGCAGACAGUUCUCUUUCCCUUGGGAUGAAAGAAAAAAUAAAGAAGAGAGCUAAGCCUUGAAAUACAGUUCAUGAAUUUCCAAAACAGAAGACAUUCCAUUCUCAGGGGCAAAUGGAACAUGCAAGAAGUCCGGAUGCCUUGGGCAGCAGCAACCUACAGUGAGCCAACUGCUUAGUGGAUGCCUGAAAAUAAGACCAUCUAAACACUUCCCCGUUGCCUCAGCCUAUAAAAUCUGUACCAAGUGA